GAUGAACGCUGGCGGCGUGCCUAAUACAUGCCAGUCGAGCGAACGGACGAGAAGCUUGCUUCUCUGAUGUUAGCGGCGGACGGGUGAGUAACACGUGGAUAACCUACCUAUAAGACUGGGAUAACUUCGGGAAACCGGAGCUAAUACCGGAUAAUAUUUUGAACCACAUGGUUCAAAAGUGAAAGACGGUCUUGCUGUCACUUAUAGAUGGAUCCGCGCUGCAUUAGCUAGUUGGUAAGGUAACGGCUUACCAAGGCAACGAUGCGUAGCCGACCUGAGAGGGUGAUCGGCCACACUGGAACUGAGACACGGUCCAGACUCCUACGGGAGGCAGCAGUAGGGAAUCUUCCGCAAUGGGCGAAAGCCUGACGGAGCAACGCCGCGUGAGUGAUGAAGGUCUUCGGAUCGUAAAACUCUGUUAUUAGGGAAGAACAUAUGUGUAAGUAACUGUGCACAUCUUGACGGUACCUAAUCAGAAAGCCACGGCUAACUACGUG
rnacentral:rRNA from 1 species